ACCUGGAUAGCUCAGUCGGUGGAGCACCAGACUUUUAAUCCAAGGGUCCAGGGUUCCAGUCCCCAUUCAGGCA
rnacentral:tRNA from 1 species